GAGAGAGAGAGAGAGAGGUUACUCAUGGGUGCGUAAGAGAGGGGUUAAGAUUUGAUUCACUAGACUAUUUCAUUAAGAGUUCUAGUUUUUUUAUUAAAAAAAUGUUUACUUAGGUUGUGAAUUCCAAGGAUCAUAUCUUCUUGAUGAGAUCCAAUCUGGUAGCUCACUAAUUGGGUUGAUGGAAUUCAAUUAUGUCCUUAAUCGGCUCCGUUGGACACCAUGUCAAAAGGUUUCGCACUAAUUAAGUGCGCCUGAAACCUACAUGAAAGGAGGUCAACGGAGUGGCUGAAGAACAAGACAGAUUUCAUUCAUCCAACACAGCAGGGUGACCAAAUGUGCUACUUUUGCUUCUUAUUUAGAAUUAAAAAUUUACAUCCAUUGUCAGAUAAUCGUCAUCAUCUCACUGCAAGAUAUGCAUAGCAACUAUCAGAAAAAGAAAUGUGUUUAGAAUGUAUAUCCAUCAUCAUAAAAUGAUAUUCCUUUGUUCCACUUAUUCUAUUAUUUCCUUUUUGUUUCUGGAUGCUAAUAGCAUGUGCUUUCUUAUAAUUGGCUGUCACAGUGUUUCUACUGAUCCAAAAUCUUAUACACAUUGAAGCUACUGUUACCAAUUAGAUUAUCCAUAUCUCUAACUUCAAUUUUUUGCACACCUGGAAUUGUUUCUGCCAUCAUUUCUGUUCUCUUGGAACAUUAAAGAUCAUUGACAACAGAUUUUACAUCAUUAAGAGUUUUUAAUCUUUUGGCUUCAGGACUUGGUAGCAAAGCCAGAAUAUCAGCACCACACCACAAAUGCCAGAGGUUCCUCGAAGCAAGUUCCAAUUUGAUGUUGGGUUUGAGAGACAAAUACUAGCUGUGAGGUUGAGAAAGAGAGUCAGAAUUAGUGCAGAAUGACAUUGGAAAACCAGCUCUCAAAGUCUGCAUCUGCAUCAUCUUCCUCCUCUUCAUUGGUACAAUAAGAACUUUGUUUGAUGCUAAAUAUUAUUUAGCUAUGGAUCUAAGGAAUAUCAUUAAAAUUGGUUAUAAAAUAUUAAAAUGAUCUUUAAUGGUAUCGGAUUAUAAAAGUAUUUUUUUUAAUAUGAUCUCAUCAUGUUGCCGAUAUUUGCUUACACCUCCAUGUUUAUUUAUGAAUUUUUAUUCUGAACAUUGCCUUUUGUGGAUAUCAUCAUAAGAACCUGAUAAGUGGUGCAAUGGAUGUGUUGUGAUAUACCUUGACCACUAGCAUAUUGAUUAUUAUCCCCAGAACAUUGGUUUCAUUAUGAUUGCCUUAUUUAACUCUUUUUCUGUGAUGAAGGUUAAAAAUAUUGUACCCAAACCUUAAUGUGGUUGGAUCCCUUGUUGAACUGUUUUACGGUUUGUACCCAUCCAUUAAUUGCUAUUAUUUUAGUCAACUUCUUAACCCACAUUAUAUUUAACAAAGAGAUCGAAUUACUCAUUUAUUUGUGUAAUUUUUUGAAGGCAUCAGCAGGAGAUCCAGUAUAGAUAGCCAUGUUGCCUCAGGGCUUGGACCUGAAGCUGUAUCACUUGCUGUAUUGAAUUAUGGAGACAAUCCAGUGAAGGCGAGAGAUUUUGUAAAAGGAUAUAGUAUUCGCCAUGAGAUGGGAUUCUCCU